rnacentral:rRNA from 1 species
UACGGAGGGGAGCUAGCGUUGUUCGGAAUUACUGGGCGUAAAGCGCACGUAGGCGGAUUUGUUAGUCAGGGGUGAAAUCCCGAGGCUCAACCUCGGAACUGCCUUUGAUACUGCAAAUCUCGAGUCCGGAAGAGGUGAGUGGAAUUCCUAGUGUAGAGGUGAAAUUCGUAGAUAUUAGGAAGAACACCAGUGGCGAAGGCGGCUCACUGGUCCGGUACUGACGCUGAGACGCGAAAGCGUGGGGAGCGAACGAG